CAAUGAAACAUUGGUUCCCGUAAGAUCACCGAAGUUAAGCAACAUUGAACCUGGUCAGUGCCUAAAUGGGUGACCACUUGGGAAUACCAGGUGCUGUAAG